ensembl:lncRNA ABCC13 ATP binding cassette subfamily C member 13 (pseudogene)
GGAGUGCGUGUCCUCCCACCGUGCUGGCGCUGAACUGACUGUCCGCUGCCAAGGGAAGUGACAGCCGCAGCCGGGCUCUCAGCCAGCGGCCAGGCGCCCCGCGGACCAUGCUCUCCAGUACGCAGAACGCGGGCGGCUCCUAUCAGCGGGUCCGCGGGGCGCUUGAUACACAGAAAUGCAGUCCAGAGAAAAGUGCCUCAUUUUUCAGUAAAGUGACAUAUUCCUGGUUUAGCAGAGUAAUUACUUUAGGCUAUAAGAGACCUUUGGAAAGAGAGGAUCUUUUUGAACUAAAGGAAAGUGAUUCCUUCUGCACUGCGUGUCCCAUCUUUGAAAAACAAUGGAGAAAGGAAGUUUUAAGGAAUCAAGAGAGGCAAAAAGUAAAGGUAUCUUGUUAUAAAGAGGCACAUAUCAAGAAACCAUCUCUACUCUAUGCAUUGUGGAACACCUUUAAAUCCAUCCUGAUUCAAGUUGCCUUAUUCAAAGUGUUUGCUGAUAUUUUGUCCUUCACUAGCCCACUCAUAAUGAAGUGUCCCUGGCAACCUUGUGUGUCUAUUUCUUACUGGAUGAAGGAAACAUUUUAACAGCCACUAAAGUGUUCACAUCGAUGUCUUUGUUUAAUAUUUUAAGGAUUCCUCUGUUUGAGUUACCAACCGUGAUCUCAGCUGUGGUCCAGACAAAGAUAUCCCUGGGCCGUUUGGAAGACUUUCUCAACACUGAGGAGCUUCUUCCUCAAAGUAUUGAAACGAACUAUACAGGAGAUCAUGCUAUUGGGUUUACAGAUGCUUCUUUCUCCUGGGAUAAAACAGGAAUGCCAGUUCUAAAAGAGGCUCUGUGGCUUAUGUUUCUCAGCAGGCCUGGAUUCAGAAUUGCAUUUUGCAAGAAAACAUUCUCUUUGGCUCCAUCAUGAAGAAAGAGUUUUAUGAGCAAGUAUUGGAAGCCUGUGCUCUCCUUCCAGAUUUGGAGCAGUUGCCAAAGGGAGAUCAAACUGAGAUUGGAGAAAGAGCUGUGAAUAUAAGUGGGGGCCAGCAGCAUCGAGUAAGCCUGGCCAGAGCUGUCUACAGUGGGGCCGACGUCUACCUCCUGGAUGAUCCCUUGUCUGCUAUUGAUGUUCAUGUUGGAAAGCAGCUUUUUGAAAAAGUGAUAGGGUCCUUGGGCCUUUUGAAAAACCGGGUAGCCAUAGUUUCAUUUAUGCUUUCUUGUGGGGCAGGGGAUAUAUCUAGCACUGUGCCUAAAAUUCCAUUUAUUUUGUUUAUUUGUUGAAGCAAAGUAGUCACAUUUCACAUGAAAAAAAUGGGAUGCUCAGAUUGCAAUUUCACAGGCAAAUGUCAAUGGGUAAUUUUUGAAGUUUUACUUACAAGUUUACUCUGGUGACAAUUUAUGUGAUUGUUAUCUCUUCAUCUAAUACCAUAUCCUAAGGGGAUGUAUGUGCCAUAAUGAAUUGUUGUUGACUCAAGUGAUUUUUACAAUGGUAUUUUGGUGCACACCAAAAUAUUAAUAAAAUUUUAUAUUAUUAA